rnacentral:rRNA from 1 species
CGGAGAGAGGUAGCUUGCUACUGAUCUUAGCGGCGGACGGGUGAGUAAUGCUUAGGAAUCUGCCUAUUAGUGGGGGACAACAUUUCGAAAGGAAUGCUAAUACCGCAUACGUCCUACGGGAGAAAGCAGGGGAUCUUCGGACCUUGCGCUAAUAGAUGAGCCUAAGUCGGAUUAGCUAGUUGGUGGGGUAAAGGCCUACCAAGGCGACGAUCUGUAGCGGGUCUGAGAGGAUGAUCCGCCACACUGGGACUGAGACACGGCCCAGACUCCUACGGGAGGCAGCAGUGGGGAAUAUUGGACAAUGGGCGCAAGCCUGAUCCAGCCAUGCCGCGUGUGUGAAGAAGGCCUUAUGGUUGUAAAGCACUUUAAGCGAGGAGGAGGCUACUUUAGUUAAUACCUAGAGAUAGUGGACGUUACUCGCAGAAUAAGCACCGGCUAACUCUGUGCCAGCAGCCGCGGUAAUACAGAGGGUGCAAGCGUUAAUCGGAUUUACUGGGCGUAAAGCGCGCGUAGGCGGCUAAUUAAGUCAAAUGUGAAAUCCCCGAGCUUAACUUGGGAAUUGCAUUCGAUACUGGUUAGCUAGAGUGUGGGAGAGGAUGGUAGAAUUCCAGGUGUAGCGGUGAAAUGCGUAGAGAUCUGGAGGAAUACCGAUGGCGAAGGCAGCCAUCUGGCCUAACACUGACGCUGAGGUGCGAAAGCAUGGGGAGCAAACAGGAUUAGAUACCCUGGUAGUCCAUGCCGUAAACGAUGUCUACUAGCCGUUGGGGCCUUUGAGGCUUUAGUGGCGCAGCUAACGCGAUAAGUAGACCGCCUGGGGAGUACGGUCGCAAGACUAAAACUCAAAUGAAUUGACGGGGGCCCGCACAAGCGGUGGAGCAUGUGGUUUAAUUCGAUGCAACGCGAAGAACCUUACCUGGCCUUGACAUAGUAAGAACUUUCCAGAGAUGGAUUGGUGCCUUCGGGAACUUACAUACAGGUGCUGCAUGGCUGUCGUCA